ACGGUGACGUUAUGAGUGAAGAAAGUGGCUAGCGAGUUUUCCGAGCCUACGUAUAGAAACCUGGUCAGGCCAAAUGGCGAAUAAGACUGCCAUUCAAGUCGAAGUCCCAAAGACAAACGUAAAGCCAAGACGGUAAACCAGGAGGCAGUGGAAAG
rnacentral:ncRNA from 1 species